GAUGAACGCUGGCGGCGUGCCUAAUACAUGCAAGUCGAGCGAACAGACGAGGAGCUUGCUCCUCUGACGUUAGCGGCGGACGGGUGAGUAACACGUGGAUAACCUACCUAUAAGACUGGUAUAACUUCGGGAAACCGGAGCUAAUACCGUAUAAUAUAUUGAACCGCAUGGUUCAAUAGUGAAAGACGGUUUUGCUGUCACUUAUAGAUGGAUCCGCGCCGCAUGAGCUAGUUGGGAAGGUAAUGGCUUAACACGGCGACGAUGCGUAGCCGACCUGAGAGAGGGAUAGGCCACACUGGAACUGAGACACGGUCCAGACUCCUACGGGAGGCAGCAGUAGGGAAUCUUCCGCAAUGGGCGAAAGCCUGACGGAGCAACGCAGCGUGAGUGAUGAAGGUCUUCGGAUCGUAAAACUCUGUUAUUAGGGAAGAACAAAUGUGUAAGUAACUAUGCACGUCUUGACGGUAACUAAUCAGAAAGCCACGGCUAACUACGUG
rnacentral:rRNA from 1 species